rnacentral:rRNA from 1 species
AGCGAACGCUGGCGGCAGGCCUAACACAUGCAAGUCGAACGAACUCUUCGGAGUUAGUGGCGGACGGGUGAGUAACACGUGGGAACGUGCCUUUUGGUUCGGAAUAACUCAGGGAAACUUGUGCUAAUACCGAAUGUGCCCUUCGGGGGAAAGAUUUAUCGCCAUUAGAGCGGCCCGCGUCUGAUUAGCUAGCUGGUGAGGUAACGGCACACCAAGGCGACGUGCAGUAGCUGGUCUGAGAGGAUGACCAGCCACACUGGGACUGAGACACGGCCCAGACUCCUACGGGAGGCAGCAGUGGGGAAUCUUGCGCAAUGGGCGAAAGCCUGACGCAGCCAUGCCGCGUGAAUGAUGAAGGUCUUAGGAUUGUAAAAUUCUUUCACGGGGGACGAUAAUGACGGUACCCGGAGAAGAAGCCCCGGCUAACUUCGUG